rnacentral:tRNA from 1 species
AAUGGCGUAGUUUAAAUUUAAGAAUUAUUAUUCUGCAAAUAAUAGGUGAAUUUUGUUUCCGCUGUUA